rnacentral:rRNA from 1 species
CUACGGGUGGCUGCAGUGAGGAAUUUUGCGCAAUGGGGGAGACCCUGACGCAGCAACGCCGCGUGAGUGAUGAAGGCCUUCGGGUCGUAAAACUCUGUCAAGUGGGAAGAACCUAUGUAAGGUUAAUACCCUUAUGUACUGACGGUACCACUGAAGGAAGCACCGGCUAGCUCCGUGCCAGCAGCCGCGGUAAUACGGAGGGUGCAAGCGUUAUUCGGAAUUAUUGGGCGUAAAGGGCGCGCAGGCGGUUUUGUAAGUCAGAUGUGAAAGCCCGGGGCUUAACCUCGGAAGUGCAUUUGAUACUGCAAGACUUGAGUAUGGGAGGGGGAAGUGGAAUUCCUGGUGUAGAGGUGAAAUUCGUAGAUAUCAGGAGGAACACCAGUGGCGAAGGCGACUUCCUGGACCAAUACUGACGCUGAGGCGCGAAGGCGUGGGGAGCAAACAGGAUUAGAUACCCUUGUAGUC